rnacentral:rRNA from 1 species
CCUACGGGGGGCAGCAGUCGAGAAUCAUUCACAAUGGGGGAAACCCUGAUGGUGCGACGCCGCGUGGGGGAAUGAAGGUCUUCGGAUUGUAAACCCCUGUCAUGUGGGAGCAAAUUAAAAAGAUAGUACCACAAGAGGAAGAGAAGGCUAACUCUGUGCCAGCAGCCGCGGUAAUACAGAGUUCUCAAGCGUUGUUCGGAAUCACUGGGCGUAAAGCGUGCGUAGGCUGUUUAGUAAGUAGUGUGUGAAAGGCGCGGGCUCAACCCGCGGACGGCACAUGAUACUGCGAGACUAGAGUAAGGGAGGGGGAACCGGAAUUCUCGGUGUAGCAGUGAAAUGCGUAGAUAUCGAGAGGAACACUCGUGGCGAAGGCGGGUUCCUGGACAUUAACUGACGCUGAGGCACGAAGGCCAGGGGAGCGAAAGGGAUUAGAUACCCUUGUAGUC